AUGAUUAAAAGAGAAGAAAGUUUCAAUGUUUUUAUGAGAAACCCUCUCCAACAUCAACAGCCAUGUAGCCCUCUCCAAUCCAUGGCACGCACGUCCACUGUCCCACGGGGUUCCCCUCGAUCGUGAUUAGCUCCUCUUCAAUUCCUUGCACGCAUGCCCGCGUCCCAUGGGUUUCACCUCGAUCUCCAGUUCUCCGCCGCGUUGAUUUGUGUGACAUACAGAGAGAAGAUGUCACCGGCGGCUGCCAAAAUCAUCAAAUCUCAUAGCCACCAGAUUUACGUGGAUGGGCUGUGGCAGAUUCAUUGACCUAUGUAGCAGAGAAGAUUGCGUUGGCGGCUGGCCAAAUCAUCAACUCAUCGUCGCCAGAUUUAGGUGGAUGCAGAUGGGAUGACGUGCAUAGCAGAGACGAUUGCGCGAGGCGGUCGUGCAAAUCCGGACCUCAACAUCACCGGAUUUACACGGAUGUGCUGCUGAUUGGCUCAGUUCGUGAAAUACAUGAUGCUGCCACCCAUCCAUCCGUUAUUCAUGUUCCCGGUCGCUUAACAAGGAGUUGCUGGUGUGCCAGCUUUAGAAGGAGAAGAGGAUGGACGUUGUGGCUGGCUGGCCGGAAGAAGGAACACGGUAUUUUCUAACGUUCUGUCUUCCAUGCGUGGAUCUUGACCUCUCCGUGGUCAUCCUUGAGCUGCCGGCCCUCUCAUCUGUGUGGCCUUAAGUCUUCUCCAAUAGCUCCGCCAGGAAGAAAAUUUUGUAUAGUGCCCAGGUGAAUAUGAACUCCUUUUCUCCAUCAUAGUCAGGCGCAUCGCUACUGUCCUGGUCUUGACGGCAUAGCGUUGGCCUAAAUUACGGCUGUGCUAUCUUGCUAGCUAUGAUGCUGAUGCAAGGUAUGCAUAGAUAUUCUCCAAUUCCAAUCUGCAUAAUGCAUUGCUCUUCAUGUUCAUAUUACUAUUCUGCAAUUCCAUCCUAUAUAUAUGCUGAUGCAUUAGCAGCAUUACCAAGUCCAAGUCUGCGUGCAUCCAUAGGAAAAAAGAGUCAAGUCUGCAUGCAAAGGUAUGCAUCGAUAUAUCAUCUUCCAAAUUUCCAAUCUACAUACGUACUGAUACAUAGUCCAGGUCUGCAUGUUGAUAUUGCUAGGAAGAGUUUGCAACUCAGUGUAACUAAAACAGUCUGUGAUAUUAGAUACUCAUGGCAUCCUCGCUGCCGAUGACACACGACACUUAAAGAGGCAACAGAAUUGAGGAACGAACCUGUGAAAUAAGCAAAGCAUGAUGGGUCGGGGAACGAGCCAGCAACGAAAGCGUGGAUGCGCGGGCAUGGUAGCGGAACAAGCCUGGAGAUUUUCUGGCCAAGCUAUUCAAUAGCAUCGCCUUCAUGAUCCCGUGAAGCAUCUACUAAUGGUGUUCUGAUGAGUAAAUAAUUGCAGAUGUGUGAUUCGUUCUAGAUCACAUGGUGUUUUGAUCCACUUAUGCUAAAUAAUUUAGUGUUCUUGCAUAGCACCUCAAUUGGAUGUGGAAAAAUAAUUUUAUUUUUAGUUACACACAUGCUCAAUUGUUUAGCGUCCUGGUAAUUUACUAAUUGCAGAUGUACGAUUUAGUGUUAUGCCCUUACUUGGAAUAUUACUGCCACAAUAUGGAUGAGUUGUCUAGGUAUUUGAAAACAUUUGAGAUGUUUAUGGGACCUUCCUGGUGUAGGUCGGCGUAGUUUCAGUUUCACCGAGGCAACAAAAGAACAUGGUAA